UUUCAAAAGCUCAUCUCUAGUGUAUGUGGUUGCAUUGCAGAUUGUACACAAAUCAUUUGCUGUAUCAAUAAUACAUUUCCUACUUUAAGGGACACUUCAGCUGUAGUAACUGAAAAUCAGCUCCUUGCAAGCAUAGAUCAGUCCUAGGUUAUCCAGUGGGCAAAACCUGCAAUAUGUCAUCUAGACCAGGCGGUCUUCAGCUGCAGGAAUCACAAGAUAUGCCAAGAGGUCAAAGGAAGGGUAGGCAUAUAGGGUAUCAGUCUGUCUCAUCCUCCUGCCCUCUGUUUGACCACCCUACCCUCGAAGUAAAUGUCACCAAGGUGCUGAUUACACCAACAGGAGCAGAUGGAGCUCUUUAUCACAAUUUAGCAGUUCCUCAAAAGGCUGAGCCAAAGUUACCUAAGCCUAACCUGUAUCAAAACUGGGCCUCAUCUCACAUACUGCUGGACCUCUAGGAUGAGAAUUGCACUACUGGUUCCGGAAACCCUGUUUUAGAAUAAAAAAUAAAUAAAUUGCUCCCCCA
rnacentral:lncRNA from 1 species